UCGGUAUUAUUGAAAAUGGUCGUUCAUGGCUAUUUUCGACAAAAAUGGGGGUUGUGUGGCCAUUUAUCAUCGACUAGAGGCUCAUAAAUCUCACCCCACAUAUGUUUCCUUGCCAUAGAUUACAUUCUUGGAUUUCUGGUGGAAACCAUUUCUUGGUUAAAAACUCGUACGUGUUAGCCUUCGGUAUUAUUGAAAAUGGUCGUUCAUGGCUAUUUUCAAGGUCGCUCAUGGCUAUUUUCAUAAAAAAUGGGUGUAUGAGCGUCUGGUCGAUGAUCAAUUGCCACACAACCCCCAUUUUGUCGAAAAUAGCCAUGAACGACCAUUUUCAAUAAUACCGAAGGCUAACACGUACGAGUUUUUAACCAAGAAAUGGUUUCCACCAGAAAUCCAAGAAUGUAAUCUAUGGCAAGGAAACAUAUGUGGGGUGAGAUUUAUGAGCCUCUAGUCGAUGAUAAAUGGCCACACAACCCCCAUUUUUGUCGAAAAUAGCCAUGAACGACCAUUUUCAAUAAUACCGAAGGCUAACACCUACGGAUUUUUGACCAAGAAUGGUCUCCACGAGAAAUCCAAGAAUGUGAUCUAUGGCAAGGAAACAUAUGUGGGGUGAGGUGUAUGAGCCUCUGGUCGAUGAUCAAUGGCCACACAACCCCCAUUUUUUAUGAAAAUAGCCAUGAGCGACCUUGAAAAUAGCCAUGAGCGACCAUUUUCAAUAAUACUAGAGGCUAACACGUACGGAUUUAUGACCAAGAAAUGGUCUCCACCAGAAAUCCAAGAAUGUGAUCUAUGGCAAGGAAACAUAUGUGGGGUGAGGUGUAUGAGCCUCUGGUCGAUGAUCAAUGGCCACACAACCCCCAUUUUUUAUGAAAAUAGCCAUGAACUACCAUUUUCAAAAAUACCAAAGGCUAACACCUACGGAUUUUUGACCAAGAAAUGGUCUCCACCAGAAAUCCAAGAAUGUGAUCUAUGGCAAGGAAACAUAUGUGGGGUGAGGUGUACGAGCCUCUGGUCGAUGAUCAAUGGCCACAGAACCCCCAUUUUGCCGAAAAUAGCCAUGAACGACCAUUUUCAAUAAUACCGAAGGCUAACACGUACGAGUUUUUAACCAAAAAAUGGUCUCCACCAGAAAUCCAAGAAUGUGAUCUAUGGCAAGGAAACAUAUGUGUAGUGAGGUGUACGAGCCUCUGGUCGAUGAUCAAUGGCCACACAACCCCCAUUUUUGUCGAAAAUAGCCAUGAACGACCAUUUUCAAUAAUAUCGAAGGCUAACACCUACGGAUUUUUGACCAAGAAAUGGUCUCCACCAGAAAUCCAAGAAUGUGAUCUAUGGCAAGGAAACAUAUGUGGGGUGAGGUGUAUGAGCCUCUGGUCGAAGAUCAAUGGCCACACAACCCCCAUUUUUGUCGAAAAUAGCCAUGAACGACCAUUUUCAAUAAUACCGAAGGCUAACACCUACGGAUUUUUGACCAAGAAAUGGUCUCCACCAGAAAUCCAAGAAUGUGAUCUAUGGCAAGGAAACAUAUGUGGGGUGAGGUGUAUGAGCGUCUGGUCGAUGAUCAAUGGCCACACAACCCCCAUUUUUUAUGAAAAUAGCCAUGAACGACCAUUUUCAAUAAUACCGAAGGCUAACACCUACGAUUUUUUGACCAAGAAAUGGUCUCCACCAGAAAAACAAGAAUGUGACCUAUGGCAAGGAAACAUAUGUGGGGUGAGGUGUACGAGGCUCUGGUGUAUGAUCAAUGGCCACACAACCCCCAUUUUUAUGAAAAUAGCCAUGAGCGACCUUGAAAAUAGCCAUGAGCGACCAUUUUCAAUAAUACUAGAGGCUAACACCUACGGAUUUUAGACCAAGAAAUGGUCUCCACCAGAAAUCCAAGAAUGUGAUCUAUGGCAAGGAAACAUAUGUGGGGUGAGGUGUAUGAGCGUCUGGUCGAUGAUCAAUGGCCACACAACCCCCAUUUUUGUCAAAAAUAGCCAUGAACGACCAUUUUCAAUAAUAUUAGAGGCUAAGACCUACGGAUUUUUUACCAAGAUUGCCAUAGAUCACAUUCUUGGAUUUCUGGUGGAGACCAUUUCUUGGUCUAAAAUCCGUAGGUGUUAGCCUCUAGUAUUAUUGAAAAUGGUCGCUCAUGGCUAUUUUCAAGGUCGCUCAUGGCUAUUUUCAUAAAAAAUGGGGGUUGUGUGGCCACCUCACUACACAUAUGUGGGGUGAGGUGUACGAGCCUCUGGUCGAUGAUCAAUGGCCACACAACCCCCAUUUUGCCGAAAAUAGCCAUGAACGACCAUUUUCAAUAAUACCGAAGGCUAACACCUACGGAUUUUUGACCAAGAAAUGGUUUCCACCAGAAAUCCAAGAAUGUGAUCUAUGGCAAGGAAACAUAUGUGGGGUGAGGUGUAUGAGCCUCUGGUCGAUGAUCAAUGGCCACACAACCCCCAUUUUUGUCGAAAAUAGCCAUGAACGACCAUUUUCAAUAAUAUCGAAGGCUAACACCUACGGAUUUUUGACCAAGAAAUGGUCUCCACCAGAAAUCCAAGAAUGUGAUCUACGACAAGGAAACAUAUGUGGGGUGAGGUGUAUGAGCCUCUGGUCGACGAUCAAUGGCCACACAACCCCCAUUUUGCCGAAAAUAGCCAUGAAUGACCAUUUUCAAUAAUACCGAAGGCUAACACGUACGAGUUUUUAACCAAGAAAUGGUUUCCACCAGAAAUCCAAGAAUGUAAUCUAUGGCAAGGAAACAUAUGUGGGGUGAGGUUUAUGAGCCUCUAGUCGAUGAUAAAUGGCCACACAACCCCCAUUUUUUAUGAAAAUAGCCAUGAGCGACCUUGAAAAUAGCCAUGAGCGACCAUUUUCAAUAAUACUAGAGGCUAACACCUACGGAUUUUAGACCAAGAAAUGGUCUCCACCAGAAAUCCAAGUGGCCACACAACCCCCAUUUUUUAUGAAAAUAGCCAUGAGCGACCUUGAAAAUAGCCAUGAGCGACCAUUUUCAAUAAUACUAGAGGCUAACACCUACGGAUUUUAGACCAAGAAAUGGUCUCCACCAGAAAUCCAAGAAUGUGAUCUAUGGCAAGGAAACAUAUGUGGGGUGAGGUGUACGAGCCUCUGGUCGAUGAUCAAUGGCCACACAACCCCCAUUUUGCCGAAAAUAGCCAUGAACGACCAUUUUCAAUAAUACCGAAGGCUAACACGUACGAGUUUUUAACCAAGAAAUGGUCUCCACCAGAAAUCCAAGAAUGUGAUCUAUGGCAAGGAAACAUAUGUGGGGUGAGGUGUAUGAGCGUCUAGUCGAUGAUCAAUGGCCACACAACCCCCAUUUUUGUCGAAAAUAGCCAUGAACGACCAUUUUCAAUAAUACCGAAGGCUAACACCUACGGAUUUUUGACCAAGAAAUGGUCUCCACCAGAAAUCCAAGAAUGUGAUCUAUGGCAAGGAAACAUAUGUGUAGUGAGGUGUAUGAGCCUCUGGUCGAAGAUCAAUGGCCACACAACCCCCAUUUUUGUCGAAAAUAGCCAUGAAUGACCAUUUUCAAAAAUACCAAAGGCUAACACAUUCGGAUUUUUGCCCAAGAAAUGGUCUCCACCAGAAAUCCAAGAAUGUGAUCUAUGGCAAGGAAACAUAUGUGGGGUGAGGUGUAUGAGCGUCUGGUCGAUGAUCAAUGGCCACACAACCCCCAUUUUUGUCGAAAAUAGCCAUGAACGACCAUUUUCAAUAAUACCGAAGGCUAACACCUACGGAUUUUUGACCAAGAAAUGGUCAUUCAUGGCUAUUUUCGACAAAAAUGGGGGUUGUGUGGCCAUUGAUCAUCGACCAGACGCUCAUACACCUCACCCCACAUAUGUUUCCUUGCCAUAGAUCACAUUCUUGGAUUUCUGGUGGAGACCAUUUCUUGGUCAAAAAUCCGUAGGUGUUAGCCUUCGGUAUUAUUGUAAAUGGUCAUUCAUGGCUAUUUUCGACAAAAAUGGGGGUUGUGUGGCCAUUGAUCAUCGACCAGAGGCUCAUACACCUCACCCCACAUAUGUUUCCUUGCCAUAGAUCACAUUCUUGGAUUUCUGGUGGAGACCAUUUCUUGGUCAAAAAUCUGUAGGUCUUAGCCUCUAAUAUUAUUGAAAAUGGUCGCUCAUGGCUAUUUUCAUAAAAAAAUGGGGGUUGUGUGGCCAUUUAUCAUCGACUAGAGGCUCAUAAAUCUCACCCCACAUAUGUUUCCUUGCCAUAGAUCACAUUCUUGGAUUUCUGGUGGAGACCAUUUCUUGGUCAAAAAUCCGUAGGUGUUAGCCUUCGGUAUUAUUGUAAAUGGUCAUUCAUGGCUAUUUUCGGCAAAAUGGACCAUUUCUUGGUCAAAAAUCCGUAGGUGUUAGCCUUCGGUAUUAUUGAAAAUGGUCGUUCAUGGCUAUUUUCGACAAAAAUGGGGGUUGUGUGGCCAUUGAUCAUCGACCAGACGCUCAUACACCUCACCCCACAUAUGUUUCCUUGCCAUAGAUCACAUUCUUGGAUUUCUGGUGGAGACCAUUUCUUGGUCUAAAAUCCGUAGGUGUUAGCCUCUAGUAUUAUUGAAAAUGGUCGCUCAUGGCUAUUUUCAAGGUCGCUCAUGGCUAUUUUCAUAAAAAUGGGGGUUGUGUGGCCAUUGAUCAUACACCAGAGCCUCGUACACCUCACCCCACAUAUGUUUCCUUGCCAUAGGUCACAUUCUUGUUUUUCUGGUGGAGACCAUUUCUUGGUCAAAAAAUCGUAGGUGUUAGCCUUCGGUAUUAUUGAAAAUGGUCGUUCAUGGCUAUUUUCAUAAAAAAUGGGGGUUGUGUGGCCAUUGAUCAUCGACCAGACGCUCAUACACCUCACCCCACAUAUGUUUCCUUGCCAUAGAUCACAUUCUUGGAUUUCUGGUGGAGACCAUUUCUUGGUCAAAAAUCCGUAGGUGUUAGCCUUCGGUAUUAUUGAAAAUGGUCGUUCAUGGCUAUUUUCGACAAAAAUGGGGGUUGUGUGGCCAUUGAUCUUCGACCAGAGGCUCAUACACCUCACCCCACAUAUGUUUCCUUGCCAUAGAUCACAUUCUUGGAUUUCUGGUGGAGACCAUUUCUUGGUCAAAAAUCCGUAGGUGUUAGCCUUCGAUAUUAUUGAAAAUGGUCGUUCAUGGCUAUUUUCGACAAAAAUGGGGGUUGUGUGGCCAUUGAUCAUCGACCAGAGGCUCGUACACCUCACUACACAUAUGUUUCCUUGCCAUAGAUCACAUUCUUGGAUUUCUGGUGGAGACCAUUUCUUGGUUAAAAACUCGUAGGUGUUAGCCUUCGGUAUUAUUGAAAAUGGUCGUUCAUGGCUAUUUUCGGCAAAAUGGGGGUUCUGUGGCCAUUGAUCAUCGACCAGAGGCUCGUACACCUCACCCCACAUAUGUUUCCUUGCCAUAGAUCACAUUCUUGGAUUUCUGGUGGAGACCAUUUCUUGGUCAAAAAUCCGUAGGUGUUAGACUUUGGUAUUUUUGAAAAUGGUCGUUCAUGGCUAUUUUCAUAAAAAAUGGGGGUUGUGUGGCCAUUGAUCAUCGACCAGAGGCUCAUACACCUCACCCCACAUAUGUUUCCUUGCCAUAGAUCACAUUCUUGGAUUUCUGGUGGAGACCAUUUCUUGGUCAAAAAUCCGUACGUGUUAGCCUCUAGUAUUAUUGAAAAUGGUCGCUCAUGGCUAUUUUCAAGGUCGCUCAUGGCUAUUUUCAUAAAAAAUGGGGGUUGUGUGGCCAUUGAUCAUCGACCAGAGGCUCAUACACCUCACCCCACAUAUGUUUCCUUGCCAUAGAUCACAUUCUUGGAUUUCUGGUGGAGACCAUUUCUUGGUCAAAAAUCCGUAGGUGUUAGCCUUCGGUAUUACUGAAAAUGGUCAUUCAUGGCUAUUUUCGGCAAAAUGGGGGUUGUGUGGCCAUUGAUCAUCGACCAGAGGCUCGGACACCUCACCCCACAUAUGUUUCCUUGCCAUAGAUCACAUUCUUGGAUUUCUGGUGGAGACCAUUUCUUAGUUAAAAAUCCGUACGUGUUAGCCUUUGGUAUUUUUGAAAAUGGUCAUUCAUGGCUAUUUUCGACAAAAAUGGGGGUUGUGUGGCCAUUGAUCAUCGACUAGAGGCUCAUACACCUCACCCCACAUAUGUUUCCUUGCCAUAGAUCACAUUCUUGGAUUUCUGGUGGAGACCAUUUCUUGGUCAAAAAUCCGUAGGUGUUAGCCUUCGGUAUUAUUGAAAAUGGUCGUUCAUGGCUAUUUUCGACAAAAAUGGGGGUUGUGUGGCCAUUGAUCAUCGACCAGAGGCUCAUACACCUCACCCCACAUAUGUUUCCUUGCCAUAGAUCACAUUCUUGGAUUUCUGGUGGAGACCAUUUCUUGGUCAAAAAUCCGUACGUGUUAGCCUCUAGUAUUAUUGAAAAUGGUCGCUCAUGGCUAUUUUCAAGGUCGCUCAUGGCUAUUUUCAUAAAAAAUGGGGGUUGUGUGGCCAUUGAUCAUCGACCAGAGGCUCAUACACCUCACCCCACAUAUGUUUCCUUGCCAUAGAUCACAUUCUUGGAUUUCUGGUGGAGACCAUUUCUUGGUCAAAAAUCCGUAGGUGUUAGCCUUCGGUAUUAUUGAAAAUGGUCAUUCAUGGCUAUUUUUGGCAAAAUGGGGGUUGUGUGGCCAUUGAUCAUCGACCAGACGCUCAUACACCUCACCCCACAUAUGUUUCCUUGCCA
rnacentral:lncRNA from 1 species